UACGGAGGGGGCUAGCGUUGUUCGGAAUUACUGGGCGUGAAGCGCACGUAGGCGGCUUUAUAAGUUAGAGGUGAAAGCCCGGGGCUCAACUCCGGAAUUGCCUUUAAGACUGCAUCGCUAGAAUUGUGGAGAGGUAAGUGCAAUUCCGAGUGUAGAGGUGAAAUUCGUAGAUAUUCGGAAGAACACCAGUGGCGAAGGCGACUUACUGGACACAUAUUGACGCUGAGGUGCGAAAGCGUGGGGAGCAAACAGG
rnacentral:rRNA from 1 species